UACGUAGGGGGCUAGCGUUGUCCGGAAUCAUUGGGCGUAAAGCGCGUGUAGGCGGUCCGGUAAGUCCGCUGUGAAAGUCGGGGGCUCAACCCUCGAAUGCCGGUGGAUACUGUCGGGCUAGAGUACGGAAGAGGCGAGUGGAAUUCCUGGUGUAGCGGUGAAAUGCGUAGAUAUCGAGAGGAACACCUGAGGUGAAGACGGGUUGCUGGGCCGACACUGACGCUGACAGCGCGAAAGCCAGGGGAGCAAACGGGG
rnacentral:rRNA from 1 species